ACAUACGACCACAUCCACUGGAAAGCACGGGAUCCCGUCCGCUCCCCCAGAGUCAAGCCAGUGAGAGGCAGAUUAGUAGCUGGAUUGGUGACGGCCAGCGAACACCGGCUGUUGUAUUGU
rnacentral:rRNA from 1 species